AGGACGCACGACGCAAGCGCUAGGGGAGGGCCCCGCGGAGUUGCCAUGGUUACAGGCGCCACGCUCUGCGCGGGCCGGCGUGCGCUUCUGGGGCGGGUAGCGGGCUCCGGAAGUGUGCAGCUGCCCGGGACCAUGGCGGUGCUUGCUGCUGGGGAUGGCGGCUUGCUCGGCCGGGCGACUAGUUCUGGCCUGGUCAGUCGGCGGCCGACAUCCUGUCUGGGGCGGCGUCCCACAGAUGGUAAACGUACCUUCUGUGUGACUUCAACCCUCCAGAGGGCUUCAACCUCCGUAGGAACGUCUGCAUCCACAUUGCCUUCCUCCUGAAGACCCUGCUGAAGAUGGAGGAGCCGGUACUGGUGCUAUUCCCUUGGGGCCACCUCUACCACUGGCAGAGCCCCGAUCCCUGGUCCGACUCCUUUGACCUCCCAAGUCUCAACAGAAACAUCCCUGACAUUGAGUACGAGCAGUUCAUUGCAGGUGAGGUGGUGGUCAUUUAACUGGGGCCAGGUGGUCUUUGUUCUGGUUCCGAUCUGAACAUCGGGCCAUCUUACUUUGGGCUUGUCGGUCUGCUUAGGGGCCCUGCUCAUGUUUCCUACACUGCAGGUGAAUUUGGUUUUUCCAUAGUUUUUUCGGGAAGUCAAUUUGAAGUGUAUGAGCUCUAUGUCCCCUCCCCUCUGAAAACCCUGGCCUCCUGGUGAGAUGCAGCGGUGACAAGGAGGCCACUGCCACAGAAGCCCUUGUCCCAGAAAGAGUCGCUCUCUGUGCAGUCAGGGCUGUUCUUACCUGUAGGAAAACACGAUGUGUGUGGAGCAUGGGCCACGUGCUGGAGAAGAUAUGUAACUGCCCAUCCAGUAUAAUUUGGUCCUGCUCAAGCUACCCAUUUAAAUUUUGUAAGAGGGAAGAGUUCAAGAUUUUCUUUGAAUAAAGGUAUUUAGAGCUUAUCAAUUUUUUUUUUAAAUUGAAAUGUGUUUGAUUUACAAUGUUUUGUUAGUUUCAGUUAUACAGCUGUUUUGUUAGUUUCAGGUAUGCAGCAAAGUGAUUCAGUUGUACAUAUACAUAGUCUAUUCUUUUUCAGGUUCUUUUCCAUUAUAGGUUGCAAGAUACUGAAUAUUCUUCCCUGUGUUCUACAGUGAAUCCUUGUCGUUUGUCUGUUUUACAUAUAGUAAUUUGUAUCUGUUAAUCCCAAACUCCUGUUUGUUUUAUAAGUCUGUGAGUCUGUUUUUUGUUUUAUAGAUAAGUCCAUUUGUAUCAUUUUUUUAAAAAUUCCACAUAUAAAUGAUAUCAUAUGAUACUUGUCUUUGUCUAACUUAUUUCACUUAGUGAGAUAAUCUCCAGUUCCAUCCAUGUUGCUGUAAAUGGCCUUAUUUCCUUCUUUGUUAUGACUGAGUAAUAUUCUGUUAUAUCUAUAUACCACAUCUUUAUCCAGUCAUCUGUCAGUGAAUGUUUAGGUUGCUUCUAUGUCUUGGCCAUUGUAAACAGUGCUCCUGUGGAAAUUGGGGUGCAGGUAUCUUUUGGAAUGAAGGUUCCCUCUGGAUAUAUGCCCAGGACUGGGAUUGCUGGAUUAGGUGAUAAGCCUUUUUUUUUUUUUUUUUUUUUUUUGUCUUUUGAGGAAUCUCCAUACUGUUUUCCACAGUGGCUGCACCAAACUACAUUCCCACCAACAAUGUAGGAGGGUUUCAUUUUCUCCACAGCCUCUCCGGCAUUUAUGGUUUGUGGACUUUUGAAUGAUGGCCAUUCUGACUGGUGUGAGAUGAUAACAUUGUAGCUUUGAGCUGCAUUUCUCUGAUAAUUGAACGAUAUUAAGCAUUUUUUAUAUGCCUAUUGGCCAUCUGUGUGUCUUCAUUGGAGAAUUGCUUGUUUAGUUGUUCUGCCCAUUUUUGGAUUUGGUUGUUUAUUUUUUUCUUAUUAAGUUGUAUGGACUAUUUAUAUAGUCUAGAAAUUAAGCCAUGGUCAGUCUCAUCUUUUGCAAAUAUUUUCUCCCAUUCCAUAGGUUGUCUUUUAGUUUUACUUAUGGUUUCUAUUGCUGUGCAAAAGUUUAUAAGUUUAAUUAGGUCUCAUUUAUUUAUUUUGGCUUUUAUUUCUGUUGCUUGGGUUGCUUAGAUUGCCCUACGAAAACAUUGCUGAGAUGUAUGUCAAAUAAUGUUUUGCCUAUGUUUUCUUGUGAGAAGUUUAUAGUGUCGCGUGUAAUAUUUAAGUCUUUAAGCCAUUUUGAGUUUGUUUCUUUUUGGUUUUUUUGCGACUCUAUUGUAUGCUUUUGAUUUGUGGUUACCUUAUUCUUCAAAUAUAUCAGCCCAUUACUAUAUCUGUUUCCUUUAGACUGAUAAUCACGUAGGCUCCAACACAUCCUAAGAAUAACGAAGAAAAAAAAGAAAGAAAAAAAUCUACAUUUUCUUGCUCCCCUCUCCCAUUCCCAACUUUUUUUAUUUUGAUGUCCUUUUUCAUUUUUACAUCUUUAUGUUUAUUCUCUUGCAACUCGUUAUUGCAUUUCCAACUAUGGUUUUCCUGUUUCUAUAGCAUCCUGCUUCCUUUCUGUUUAGAAUAGAACCUUUUAAUGUCUCUGUUAGGUUCAAUAUUGCUGAGUUAUCUCACUUCCCCUCCC